rnacentral:rRNA from 1 species
CCCAGUGGCAAUAGCACGUUAAGUGCGCCAGUUCUCAAUGGAUCACUAAAGCAACGUUGCGUGUGGUUGGUAUCCGGAUGGGUGACCAUCUGGGCAAUCGUGGAUUACUAGCU